AGCAGCCGCGGUAAUUCCAGCUCCAAUAGCGUAUAUUAAAGUUGUUGCAGUUAAAAAGCUCGUAGUUGAACCUUAGGCCCGUGCGGGUGGUCCGUCCUCAGGGCGAGUACUGUCUCGUUGCGGGUCUCACCUUCUGGCGAGCGUGGAUGCCAUUUAUUUGGUGUCUGCGGGAACCAGGACCUUUACCUUGAAAAAUUAGAGUGCUCAAAGCGGGCUCUUGCGCUUGAAUACAUUAGCAUGGAAUAAUGAAAUAGGACGAUGGUUCUAUUUUGUUGGUUUCUGGGACCGUCGUAAUGAUUAAUAGGGAUAGUUGGGGGCAUUCGUAUUCAAUUGUCAGAGGUGAAAUUCUUGGAUUUAUUGAAGACGGACUACUGCGAAAGCAUUUGCCAAGGAUGUUUUCAUU
rnacentral:rRNA from 1 species